rnacentral:rRNA from 1 species
UACAGAGGGGGCUAGCGUUAUUCGGAAUUAUUGGGCGUAAAGGGCGCGUAGGCGGCCAUGCGUGUCUUCCGUGAAAUCCCUCGGCUUAACUGAGGACGUGCGGAAGAAACUGCAAGGCUCGAGUCCGGGAGAGGGGGGUGGAAUUCCCAGUGUAGUGGUGAAAUGCGUAGAUAUCGGGAGGAACACCAGUGGCGAAGGCGACUACCUGGCCUGUUCUUGACGCUGAGGCGCGAAAGCUAGGGGAGCAAACGGG